rnacentral:rRNA from 1 species
GUGGAUUAGAUACCCUGGUCGUCCUAGCUGUAAACGAUGUAGACUUGGCGUUGGAGGGGUUAAAUCCUUCAGUGCCGAAGCAAACGCGAUAAGUCUACCGCCUGGGGACUACGGCCGCAAGGUUAAAACUCAAAGGAAUUGACGGGGCCCCGCACAAGCAGCGGAGCGUGUGGUUUAAUUCGAUGAUACACGAAGAACCUUACCAGGGUUUGACAUGCUAGUGGUAGGGAUCCGAAAGGUGACCGACCCCUCGGGGAGCUAGCACAGGUGCUGCACGGCCGUCGUCAGCU